rnacentral:rRNA from 1 species
GUCCUAGCCGUAAACGGUGCACAUUUGCUGUGAGCGGAAUCGACCCCGUUCGUGGCGUAGCUAACGCGAUAAAUGUGCCGCCUGGGAAGUACGGUCGCAAGAUUAAAACUCAAAGAAAUUGACGGGGGCCUGCACAAGCGGUGGAGUAUGUGGCUUAAUUCGAUGCAACGCGAAGAACCUUACCUGGCCUUGACAUGUAGAUAGUAGAAGCGUGAAAGCGUGACGACCCCGCAAGGGGGAGUCUACACAGGUGCUGCAUGGCUGUCGU